AUAUUAACUCUAAGAGAAAUUUAAUAAUAAACGAAGUGAAUUGAAAUAUCUUAGUAACUUUAGGAAAAGAAAUCAAAAGAGAUUCUAUGAUUAGCGUGAGCUAAAAUAGACUAGCCUAAAAAGUCAAAUGGUGGAUAAACUGUUUAAAUUAAAUGGGGAACCUUCCUCAAAGGCUAAAUAUAAUAUAUAAGCGAUAGUGGAAAGUACCGUGAGGGAACCAAAACAAAAACAGUGAUUUUAUAAGCAGUUCGGGAAAAUAAAAAAAAGUUAGAACGUACCUUUUGCAUAAUGGGUCACCAAGUUAACAUUAGAUGCGAGUAGGAGGGAGCUUUAUAAAAAAAAAUAUAUUUUUUUAUAGCCCCGUGCAUACGUAGUUAAACCGAGCGUUAAAAUAACGGUAAGUAUCUAAAGUUAGACCCGAAGCCUGGUGAUUUUACCAUAAUCAGGAUUAUAAAAGUCCGAACGGAAUAUUGUAGCAUAAAUAUCCGAAGAAUUAUGGUAGGUGUAGUGAAAGACAAUACUGACCAGGAUAGCUGGUUUUCUGCGAAACCUAUAACAGUAGGCAAUUUAAGUAUAAUAUCUUAGCAGGUACAGAAUUUAAUCUCAGACAAGACAUAAGGCUUAGCUUGCUAGCAAGUAAAGCUCAUGUUUUAUUUUGUACAAAUUGGGGGAUCAUGAAGAUUUUAUCAGUGAGUAUGUAGACUCGGAAUGGCAAAGAUAUAUCUUAAAUCAUCAGACAUAGAAUGAUAAGGUUGUAUGUCAAAAGGGAAACAGCCCAGAACAAGAGUUAAGGUUCCUAAAUUAUUAGUUGAGUGAAAUUAAGAAGGUUUUUAUUAAAGUCGACAAGGAGAUAGGCUUAGAAGCAGCCAUAAUUUUAUGACCUCGUAACAGAGCGCUUGUUAAGUUUUAAAAGCAUCGAAAAUUUAUCGGAUCUAAACAAUAUACCGAAACCUUGUCCAUAUUAUUUUAUAAUUAAAGCUUAAUUAUAAUUAAAUGGGGUAGCAGAACGUUGAGCUAAAUUAAGAUUUUUAUUUUUUAAAUGAAAUUAUAAUAAUUUAACUCAAGUGAUAAUGGUGACAUGAGUAACUAAAAGAAAAAAUAAAAUUUUUCCGCCUAAAGCUUAUGGAUGUAAUUAAGUAACGGCCUCUAAGUUUAUAUUAUCUAAAGAUUUAAACGAUGAGAUAAUCUUUUGUACUAAGGACGACAUUUUAAGUGAAAAAUGUACUGGAAAAAUAGUACUAAAUUAAUGGCUAUAGCUAAUUAGGGCUAUAGCUAUAAAUGAAAAGUAACCGUACCUAGAAUCUGAAACAAGUAAGCUAGUAGAGAAUACGAAGGCGUAAAUGAGCUAACAAUCAUAAAGGAACUCGGCAAAUUGACUACCGUAACUUCGGGAUAAGGAGAGCUCAUUAUUCUUGAUUAAUAUCAGGUAAAGAGGAAGAAGCAUGAAAUAGUGUUGUACGACUGUUUAAUUAAAACACAGCACUUUGCUGAAAGAUUAAAAAUCUAAGUAUAGAGUGUGAUGUCUGCCCGGUGCCGGCUGGUUAACAGAUAUAAUUAAAUAUACUAAUAUUUGAUGUAGACGGAAACCCCGGUUAAAGGCGGCCUUAACGGAACAGGCUAAUUUGCGCAAGAGUGUACAAAAUGAGUGCGCGGUUUGGCACCUCGAUGUCGGCUUAACUUAUCCUCAUGGAUGCAGGAACUAUGUAGGGUGCGACUGUUCGUCGAUUAAAAAGUUACAUGAGCUGGGUUAAAUACGUCGUGAGACAGUAUGGUUUCUAUCUUCUAGGGGGAAUUAGAAUAUAAUAAGAACUAACUUUUGUACGAAAGGAACAAGAAGAAUUUAAUUUGUAAAAGGGUUAAAUAAUAGUUACUAACCUAUGGUUUACCUGUUGUCUAUGUGCCCAAAUAUUAAAAUAUAUAUGGAGGAAGCUCCUUAAGAGCUUCCCCGCAAAUUAUAUAUAUCUGUAUAGCUAGCCUGCGGACUCCGGUUAUGCCUGAGUUUGGCAAGCUAAAGCUAUACAUAGGGAUGUUUCUUUCACUAAGAUAAAUAUAUAGCAUAGGCACGGCAGGAAAGCUAAGUUGGUUAAGGAUAAGUGCUGAAAGCAUAUAGGCACGAAGCUUAUCUUAAGAUAUUUCUUAAAUAUACGUAAAAUAUUAUUACGAAGGAUGUAAUAUAGGCUUUAUCCGUACGAAUCUGGAGAUUUUUAAGAAUAAAGUACUAAUUUUAUAAAUAACUAUUUAUACAUAUAUC
rnacentral:rRNA from 1 species